AAAAAAACACAAUAUGAGUUGAUGAUGGGCCAUGUGUUUUUACAGCACAUGGUAUGAUUUCUAAUUCAUAAGCCGCUUCCUUGUAUUUGUCUUUUUGUAACUUGUAGCUUUUAGUGCGGAGUGCUCAAACCACACACAGAGAACUCAGAAGAGCCCAGAACGAGUUGCAGCAGCAUCAAAUAUUUACACGCAGCAUUUUGGACGGGAGGUUUUAAGCGCUGAUACAGGCACAAAGCAGCCCAGAAGUGCAUCACACCCUUUUAUCUGUCACAUCCGCAACCGGAUUCGAAAAAUCUAAUGCAAUCAGGUGGAUCCAACCUUGAGCGUGUAAAAGAGUGAGUGAGUGUGUUACAUCAACAUUAACUUUUAACAGCCAAGGAAUGUCUCCAUUCCACAGUGGAAAAAGGUUCUUUAGAUCAUUGAAAUGUUCUUUACUCUUAGAAAAAAAAAGGUUCUUUUGAAAACUGUUUGCUGGAAUGUUCUAUGGGGAACCAAAUAUGGUUCUUCUAGUGUAAAACCUCUUUUUAGAAACUUUAUUUUUUCUUUAACCUUUAUAAUUAAUUAUUUAACCUUUAUAACCUUUAUUACCUUUAACUUUUAUUAUUUAUGGAACCUUUAUUUAUUUAUUUUAUUUAGAGUGUCUUUUAUUUUGAAAUUGUUCUUGUCAUGACUUUGUUCAUUUAUCUGUCUAAUGGUGUCUGGGUGUUUGUUUUUCAUCUCAUUAAAUCAGCAUGUUUUCUGAAGGACAUUGUGUGUUUUGUUGCUGUAUGAUUGGUUUCCCUCAUUCUGUCUUCCAUUUUUUGAACAAAAGGCCUAACCGCAAACUCCAAAAAUGAUCUUUCUCUCUCCGUCUCGCUCUUCCUCCCUCAAGCUGUACUGGGAAGUUAAUUUGGUGAUGAUGGCAAUGGAGGUCCUGGGAGGCUAAUAGCUUUUCCAGAUGCAGACUGUAAACCAUACGAUGACGUGACGGGUCACUGGGAAUCUUCGGAGUAACAUACCACUGUUUUUGCAGUAUUGUAUACUGUGCAUGAAAUGAACAUUCAUUUUUAGAAUUUAUUUAUUUAUCUUUAUUAUAUAGUUGCAUAGACAUCACUACUCACUACUCAUCUCUACAAAAUGUUCAUCAAAAAUAUUAUUAAAUAUCAUAUU